CCUUCUCCUUCUCCUUCUCCUUCUCCGCUUUUACAGACACGGUUAGCUACUUCCUCAACUCCGUCAACAAAAAGAACAAAUACAACUCACAAAGAAGGUUAGAUUUUUGCUAAAUGUUAUGGAUCUUGAACCUGGUGCUAUGGAUUCACUUAGAUGUGGUCCUUUUGGUUAGAUCGUUGGACUUCAUAACUCUGUUUUCGGUCAAUCUGUUGCUGGUAAUAACUAGGCUAAACGUCAUUAUACUGAAGGGUGAAGAUUUUCUGGUGGUGUGGGUUGAGAUCUAUUAUUACUUACUCGCAUGCGUAGAAAUUGAGCUAUUUUUUUGGGUGGGAAGGUGUUUGAUAUAAUGCUUCACUGAGCUGGUCAGUUGGAGAAAUUAAAAGUGGAACAAUGUAAAGUUUAUUUGAGGAAGAAGGGUUUGAGGUUAACGGUGAAGAAAGGCGUUCUUAUUGACCAGGGAACAUCUUGUGUAAUGGUGACAUGGUAUCUAAUUUUACCUUUUUUUUGUUGUUGUUGUUUCGAUCUGAUUUAGUUAUCGACUGUGUGUAAUUUCAGGAUCAUAAAUGGUAGUGGAGAACAGUAGUGUCCGGUAUCCAUUUCAAGUCUCUUUGCACCUUACUGAAGAUGGUCUUUGGUGCUUUUCCUUUAUAAACCCCAACUACUCCCCAGGAUGUGAAUAUAUUGUACCCUAGGGUCAAGGAGCUCAUACAAAAGCAUCUUGAUGCUGUGAUAUCCUCUCAGAUAUCCCUUGAAUCUGCAAACUCCAUGAUAAGCUUUGUUCUGUCUGUGAUCAAGGUUUUGACGUAGGUGCAGAAGUUCUUCAUAGACCCGUUCCUUUUGCCAUUAACUCGUGUUCUUCAACGCCUUGCACCGGAUAUGGGCUCAUCUGCAGCUUCUCAUGUGAGACAACAUCUAGGAGUGCUACUGGCCCUCCAUUUGGAACUAGAACUGUUGCAGGUCGUAUUUUGAAAGAAAGCUAUGGUUCUGCUAACCAGCAACAGACAUUUACGAUUGAAGUAUUAAGGAGCAAAGAAGAGGAACCACUUCCUCCACUUAACCCUCUUCUAAUUAAGGGUUGAAACCGCUAUGAUUUAAACACAAUGAGGCGGAUGAGGAGAUGAGCAGGCAGGUCUAAUAAAGAAGUAAGAAUGAACAAAAGGAAAUGUGGAAGAAGAGUACUGGACAAAGCAAGGAAGGGAUGUUAGAUUUGGUUGACUACAAUGUGAAGAAGAUGUUUGAUGUCUAACUGAAGGAGAUGCUGCAUUGACGACUCAGAUAUCAGAGGAGACUGAGAUAUUCGAGGUCAUUGAAACUGUUAAACAACGGAGCCAUUUUCGAAGGAAAAUGCUUGAAAGCACUUAUUGUUGGUGCUGGUUUGAUCAGGUAUGGAAGCUCAUUGCUUGUACUAUUUGUGAGAUAACAGGGAGCUCAAUGUAUCUUUCAGGAUUUCCCAUUAUGCCAAGGUUCCAAACUAGACGAUUAUCAAGUCUUUGGAAUUUAAGUUUUCUGUUAUUGAUUAUGUUCAACAUCUUUUAUUCCUGAUAAGUCACUUGAGUCAUUUUCA